AUCCCACAGAUGCAAGAGCUGGAGCUGGACACUAGCAUUCAGGAUCUCGAUGUGUCUGGGCAUAGCGCCCCCCGAGACAGGGCAAUCUGCAUUACGGAGCACCAGGACUUUCUACCCCUUCUAAAUCGAGGAGUGCUGGAAACAUUCUUCUCCUUUGAUAAAAUAAAUUGGAAAAGAAGACCCAGACCUGCUGGACCCAACGGCCAGUUGUCAAUGUUGCAGUACCGAUUGGUGGCUUACAGAAUCGUUCUUGAGUGGGGGUUGAAAGGAACACAGCUGGGAAGAGGAAACCGACGUGUUCUUCCAUCCUGUGUAGUGACCAGCAUCCGAAACAAAUACCCUUCGGCCGCUGGACAAUAUGUUGGAUUCAGGGAAGCACAAGAUGCUCUGAGAUUGUUUUGAACACAACACUACUGUAGUCUACUAGAAAACAUUUGCUACUUCAACAAAUCCUUUAUAUCAAACACAAAAAGAACACAUACAUUUGGUUACAGAUGACAAUACGAUUGUUUACGGUAACAUUUUAACAACAAUGUACGCGUAUAUGGUUCAAUAAAUUGUUUGCUGUUGACCUUUUUGUCUUUUUACUAAUGUUUGCAGACAGUAUUUAGCACCACACUAAACUCCAGUUAGACUUUCAUUUUCCCCUUUUAAUCAUGUUUUAAAACGGGAGACGUGCUCUGCAAUACUUUGAUCUUUGUCCGGUCUUGGAGUGGUGGCUAUGUUGUCGGGUAUAGUAGCUGG